UUAGGUUAGUGCAAAAGUAAUUGUGGUUUUUGCCAUUAAAAGAAACGACAAAAACCACAAUUACUUUUGCACCAACCUAA
rnacentral:miRNA from 10 species